rnacentral:snRNA from 1 species
UGAAAUUGGAACAGUACAGAGAAGAUGAACUUGGCCCUCGCGCAAGGGUGCCAUGCAAAUUCAUGAAGCGUUCCAUAUUUUC